ACCAUUAUCCAUUACGCGCUCAAGCGCCUCUCGCGGAUAAUUCUGUUAAAAGGAGUCGCAGAAAUUAUCCAAGAUUCCGUAGAUUUCGCAAACGAUGAGGAGAUUCUGGAUUUUGAUGCCGGAGUGUAUCUUGUGACGGCCGAGAACUAUCCACAAACACCACAGGAAAAGUCCAAGGCUGUGUGUAAGGCUAGGAGGCGCCUGGGGGAGAGACAGUAUUCUGUGUUCUAUAAUAACUGUGAUUGCUUUGUGUCCUGGACACUCCGUGGAUGUUCUUACUCUCAUCAGGCAAUGAAUGCAAAAGGACUUUUAUUGUACAUUGGAAUAGUGACCAGAUAUUGCCUGAGAACGUACAGGGCGCUGCAAACUUUCAAAGACUGUAUCAACAAAUUAAGAUGUUUGUUUGGAGAAUGAAAAAAAAUAUUUUAUUUAUUGUACUAAUUUAUUUAUAUUUUGUUGUAUUUUUACCGAUGCAUAAUUACAAAACGAAUGUUCCAGUUAGAAAUCCGUUGUAAAUUUUCAUGUUUGUUGUAUUUUAUAUUUUGUUAUUUGUUGAAAUAAAUUUGUUUAACU
rnacentral:misc_RNA from 1 species